rnacentral:rRNA from 1 species
AUUGAACGCUGGCGGCAUGCCUAACACAUGCAAGUCGAACGGUAACGCGGGGGCAACCCUGGCGACGAGUGGCGGACGGGUGAGUAAUACGUAGGAAUCUGCCCAUUUGUGGGGGAUAACCCGGCGAAAGCCGGGCUAAUACCGCAUACGCUCUACGGAGGAAAGCGGGGGAUCGCAAGACCUCGCGCUAAUGGAUGAGCCUACGUCGGAUUAGCUAGUUGGUAGGGUAACGGCCUACCAAGGCGACGAUCCGUAGCUGGUCUGAGAGGACGAUCAGCCACACUGGGACUGAGACACGGCCCAGACUCCUACGGGUGGCAG